CAGGAGUGAAGCAGCUUCUUUAUCUUAAGAAUAGUCCAGACUAUAAACUGGAGACUUUGAGAUGGAAGCGAGGAUCUUUGUGAAAAAGAGUGUGAGCUGAGAAGAUGAGCUGUGUCCCGAUGAUCCAGAGGUUGAAGCAGCAGCAGUUUGUGUGUCGAGAGACUCUGACUCUUCAACGGAAACAUGAACUAAAACACACACAUUAACCUCCCAGUGUUCAGUGUUCAGUUUCACUCACUGAGCAUAUGUGUUUCUGUUUCUGCUGUUUGAUUUAUGGGGUUUCUCUGAUAUUUCCUGACACUGUUGGAGCUUCUGUUCAGUUCCAGUCCAUGUGUAGAUGCUGGAUGCUGGAAUAGAAUAGAGCUAACUCUGGAUGUCAUCCUGAUUAAAGGUGAAGGCUGUUUUUUACAUUUAUACUGAUAUUACUGGUGUAUUCAUGGUGUUAAAAGACAGAGAUUUAAGAUGAAAAAGUGUCGCCUUCAGGUUUAAGGUGGAGAGUUACGAGUGCUCACCUGAAACUAUAACCAGUGUCUGUUAGUAUCCAGAUACUGACCUGUGAUUAGAGGAUGUGGUUCAGAAGAACCUGGUGGUGGCUUCUUUUACUGAUCAGUGGUUCUCUAAUGAUUUAUUAAUGACAACCUCUCCAGACUCAACAUAUCUGUCUAAAGAUUGAUUCAUAUUUUCAGUAGGUUGUUUUCAAUUGAAUUUUUAUAAAUGCGUCUGAAAGAGUAGCUGCAUGUCGCCAGUAGCUCUGUGAUCCUUUUUUUAGGUUAAUCUCAGUGUGUUAAUGGUUGUUUUUAUCUGACUUGUUGUUGUUGUUUCUGUGCCUUGAACCAGUCAAAAUGGUUUUUGGACGUUUUUGUCAUUUUGUGCUGUUUUUAUUUAGUUUUUGGCUGUGUUGUUGGUCAUUGGCUGUGGAGUUCGGCGGAGUGGCCGUUGUGUCUGUUGGUGUCUUUCAGGGAUCAGCUGUUAGCGCUGUCUGUGUCCCCUGAGCUGCCCGGACCGAGGCCUGAGAUUCCCUCUGAACUUCAGAAGAAGUGCUGGGGAUGCCAGGCUGGAGGUGGAGGUGGAGGGGCAGAGGAGGAGGUUGAGUCGGAGGUGCCGUCUGUCCUCAUUGGGGAACGUGAGAUCUCUGGAAGCAGGAUGGAUGGACUGUGUGGACUUGGUGGGACCCAGAGGGACUGUGUCAUGAGAAGUGCUUGGAGACCUGGUUCAUAGACCACAGUGCCUCUGUGCCCGGCUUUGGGACUCUAUGGGUUGCUAUGCAACCACAUCACCUUGGACACUGUUUUUGCCAACUACUUUUGUAUAUUUGUUCAUAAUGAUGAUUCUGUAAAUUUUGUGAAUACACAGUUUAUUUUAUUUUACUAGAUAAAACUUAAAACUCA